rnacentral:rRNA from 1 species
GAGAAAGCUUUAUGCACCAUUGGAUGAGCCUGCACUUGAUUAGGUUGUUGGUGGGGUAAUGGCCUACCAAGACUGUGAUCAAUAGCUGAUUUGAGAGGAUGAUCAGCCACAGUGGGACUGAGACACGGCCCAAACUCCUACGGGAGGCAGCAGUGGGGAAUCUUGCACAAUGGAGGAAACUCUGAUGCAGCGAUGCCGCGUGAGUGAAGAAGGCCC